GGAGAGGUGGCAGAGUGGUCGAUCGCGUCCGACUUGAAAUCGGAUGGGCGUUAAUAGCGUCCCGUGGGUUCAAAUCCCACCCUCUCCG
rfam:Cyanothece sp. PCC 7822, complete genome.